rnacentral:rRNA from 1 species
AUACGGAGGAUCCGAGCGUUAUCCGGAUUUAUUGGGUUUAAAGGGUGCGCAGGCGGCCAUUUAAGUCAGCGGUUAAAUCGUGGGGCUCAACCCCAUUCUGCCGUUGAUACUGGGUGGCUUGAUUGCGGUCGAGGUUGGCGGAAUUCGUUGUGUAGCGGUGAAAUGCAUAGAUAUGACGAAGAACACCGAUUGCGUAGGCAGCUGACCAGACCGCAAAUGACGCUAAUGCACGAAAGUGCGGGGAUCGAACAGGAUUAGAUACCCUGGUAGUCCGCACAGUAAACGAUGAAUACUUGUUUUCGGCGAUAUAAUGUCGGAGGCAAAGCGAAAGCGAUAAGUAGUCCACCUGGGGAGUACGCCGGCAACGGUGAAACUCAAAUGAAUUGACGGG